rnacentral:pre_miRNA from 1 species
GUUGUUGAAUGCAGCGAAGGAUGACUUGCUGGUUUUCCUUCUUUUUUGACGUGAAAAUGUAGCCAGCAAGUUAUUCUUGGCUAUGUUUGUCUAUCU